CUGGAACACAUGGUCUCCAUGGAAGGGAAGGAGAGGGCUGGAGAAUCACACAUGAUGAUGUAAAGGCCCAGUCCUGGGAAUCUUUUUUUUUUUUUUAAGAUUUUAUUUAUUUAUUCAUGAGAGCAGAGAGAGAUAGAGAGAGAGGCAGAGACACAGGCAGCUGGAGAAGUAGGCUCCAUGCAGGGAGCCUGAUGUGGGACUCGAUCCUGGGACCCGAUCCUGGGACCCGAUCCUGGGACUCGAUCCUGGCAUUCCAGAAUCACACCCUGGGCCAAAGGCAGGUGCUCAGCCUCUGAGCCACCCAGGGAUCCCCUAGUCCUGGGAAUCUUAUACAUCACUUCUGCCCACAUUCUAUUAGCCAGAAUUAGUUACAUGAUACCAACUUAGCUGCAAAGGAGGCUGGGAAAUAUAUGUAAUCUUCCUGUAUGCUCACAAAAAGGAAAAAGUGUGGUAAGACAUUCUCUUUGCCACAUCUCCUUUUAUGUAUUGUAUUCAAUCCCCUACCAGAUAGGCAGGAGCCCUGGUAUCUUGAUCCAAGCUGGACUUCUGGGUCCCAAAAGCCCAUCUGACGUACAGGGUCAAGAACUGGCUACAGAAUGUGAAACAGAGGAAAUCCAUGUGCUUGUUGAUAAGCAAAAAAGAAGACAUCUAAUCCAAGAUAUUCAAGAUAUUUCUACCAUGCAGGAAAUGAAUUCAGAGUCUGCAACUGUGUUUUCUCUGUAUCUAUCUGAAAUAGUGUAUGAACCUCCCCUAUCCCAAGUCCUGGGGGCUAAGUUGGGUAUAUUACUCCUGUGUCCUCACUGCCCUUAUAUAUACCAUUUCAGUAUAUGUCACCAUGUGCUUUAAUUGCUUCUUUGCCUAUCUAUAUCCCCCAUUUGAAUGUGAAUUCUAGAAGGGUAGAAACUAUGCUGGCCUAAAACACACUGAUGUCCCCAAGAUGUAGCACAGGGCCUGGUAUACAGUAGAGGCUCAAUAAAUAUUUAUCAAA
rnacentral:lncRNA from 1 species